GGCUUCCUCUCCCCAGGUGACUCCUCUCUCCGGGCACCCACCCGAAGCAGAGCCGCGCGGACAGACGCCAGGCUCGGCUCCCAGGAGUUGAUCUGAAUGUGGCGUUUUAUGGAGAAUCUUGGAAACCAAAGGACUCUAAACGCUGCCAGUAAAGCUGCUUUAUAAUCCAGACUCUGCUCUACUCCUAUUCCUUUGUAUUGUUUUCAAAUACCACAUUUCAAGGAAGAGUGACUUAGCUUAAAGGUUUUACAAAUAUAUCAAAGACGUCUCUUUAAGUGGAUACCUGU